CAAGAAAAAGCCAUGUUCAAGGUGCCUGAAUCCCCUGGUACACAGCAACUUCAGAAUGGCAGCCACAUGGGGCGCCAUGGUAGUCAGGGAGGCAUCGUCAUGGCCAUCAGUCCCAGUGAGGAGACCAAGCUGCAGAUGUUCAUGUGGAGCCGCAUCAUCUUCAGCCUGGGCUUUGUCAUUAGUGGCCACUACAAGGACUUUGCCAGGGAUGUGGCAGCCUCCAUAGCAUUCACCAAUGACCUGAACGGUGAGCACCCGCACAAGGCAGCGGACAUGGAGGGUCUGUACACGCUGGACACAGCAGAGGUGGAUGACCGCAGCUACUGGGUCAGGUUCCAGUCCUCAUCCCUGGCAUCCUGGAGUGGGACCAGGAGCAGAGUGUCAUCUAUGGCUCCACUGACUUUGUAAGAUGGUGGUGUGGCCCCCAUCGUGUUGCCUGGAUCUGCUGGAGCAUGAGUUAACUGCUCAAGACCCUGUGCCACUGCAUGCUCAACCAGUGCAACGAUGAGGCGGAGCUCUUCUCGGUUGAGGGCAAGGGUGUCACUGGCAAUGACAGAUACUACCUGCUGAGCCCCCUCCCCCUGACCUCAGCUUCCUGCCUGUGCCCCACAAGGAGCUGCCAGAGGAGUGCUCCCAUGCCAGCUUCCCCUGCACCCACAGGCACAGGUUCUGUCGCUUGUGCCAGGAGCUGGUGGAUGUCUUUGUGGAGCACAGUUGAGGAGCAGCCCUGUGAGGCUGAGGCUGCAGCCAGCUGCACUCUGCUGCGGGCACGGGCACCCUGGGUUGUUCUGGGGCUGGAUCGUUGAAGAGAGAAGCUCUGGACAGUGAAGAAGAGCUCGUUUUGGCCACACUCACUAGAGCCCCUUUCCCAUCCCCCACCCACCUGCCAUCAGGCUCCCAGAUGCAGAAUCUGGAGCUUUGUGUUGGUUGCAAGCCAGCAAGCAGUCAAACCAGUGACCCAGCUGAGCUGUGCUGUUCUCCUAAGGAGCAUUUGGAAGUCACUGGGUGGGUUGUGAAGGUCACAGUCCCUGAGUGUUGGUGCUGCUGGUUUUUAGUGCUUAGGAGUUGGCCAUGUUAAAUUUCCCACACCACAAGUAACUCUUUUCCAGAAGCCAGUGGCAUUCCUGUCUCUGUUGGAAGUCCUGGUCUGAAUGUGGACCCUCUCUCCCCGACCUCUAUACUCUGGCUGUCUUCUUCCUGUCUGGGGAGAUCUGGCAGCCACCACCUUGUUGCCUGGGUCUGUGAGAGCAAAGCUGAGUUCUGGUCCGGCUUGUAGCAGAAGAAGGAAUUUGACAACAUCUAUAAGGCCCAGGUGGGCUGUGGCAGGGCCGGUGGGUUGAGCUGCGCCUGUAGGCUGUGGGCAGCUAAUCCUUUCCUGCCUGUGCUCUCUCCCCUGUUUUUUGGUGAGAACCACGAGAAGGAAAGCUCCGAGAUCCUCAAGUGCCUGGCCCAGCAGGCCAUGGCCCAGCAGCACACUGUGAAUGGGAGAUACUGGUCGGCUGCAGUGCCAGCAUCCUGCCCCUCCAGCUAUAUCCCUGGGUGGAGCUGGGCCCCCACCCGGCCUGGGUAGGAUGAGCCUCACUCACAGCUCAUCCCCCCACGGCCCCUCAGUUCACAGCCCCCAGUAUGGCCAGCGUCUUGGAGCAGCUCCAGGUCAUCGGUGAUGUCCUCUUCAUUCUUCUCAGCUGAGGCCCCUCCAUGGCUCCCUACUUAGAAGUUGGCCUUUAGUUUUUUAAGAUAUGUAAUAGGCUGACAUGGCUCAAAAUUGAAAAGUGUAGCCAGUGAUGAGAACUUCCUUGUGAAUCCUUCCAGAAAUACUCCAUGUGAUCUUUAUCCCCCUCUUUUUUUUUCUUUGGAAUUGUGGCAUGCCACGUAUGAAGGUUAUUAUUGUUUACUUCAUUUAACAACGUAUCUUGGUGAUCUUCCAUUUCAGUUCCUAGGUAGUGGCUUUAUUCCUUCCUAGGCUGCCUGUGGUUCCAGUGCAAAAUGUGCCUUAGGAGCAGGCCCUGAGGACUCCCGCGGUGCUGUCACAAGCAGUGCUGCCUUUGGGAGCCCCUAACCUCCUGCUUUUUCUCUCCUCAGUGUGGGAAAGGGGUUUGGUCAGCCAGGGGUGUCAGCAGCCCUGUCCCACACCCAUUGUCUACACCUAAUCUGGUGGCAGGGAGGCCACAGAGUGCAGUGAUUGGAACUGGGUGAGAGGGUUAGAGGCAACUGGGCCCUAGGCCGAGUCAAGUGCAUGGAAUCCUGACUGUCAGCAAUUAGGGAUCUUUCUGCUUUUGGGAGGGAAGUACUUGUUCCACGCGUCUCACUGAAUAUGGCACGGAACCUGAUCUGUCCCAAGUGGGAGUUUAACCAAGCUAGCGGGGGCCCAGGGCCCUGGCCCAGUCUGACACCUACCUCCUCUCCCACCUUCUACUCACCCAGAAGACUAGGAGAAUCUGAAAGCAGAGGUGGUGCAGCGUCACUAGCUCCAGGAAUCCAGAAAAACAGGGAUAGGGCAUUCUGGGAGGUUGAAGUGGGUGGAUCACUUGAGCUCAAGAGUUGGAGAUCAGUCUAGGAAACACGAUGAAACCCCAUCUACACAAAGCAAAAAUUAGCUUGGCGUGGUGGCGCGACCUGUAGUCCCAGCUACUCAGCAGGCUGAGGUGGAGGAUCGCUUGAGCCUGAGAGGUCCAGGCUGCAGUGAGCCAUGAUUGUGCCACUGCACUCCAGCCUGGGUGAUAGAGUGAGACCCUGUCUCAAAAAAACAAAACCAAAAAAACAGAGCUAGGGCUGGGGACCCCUAUGGCCACUGAAUCUGAGCCCCUGGGGGCAGAGGAACUGAGCUCCCAGCCCUGUGGCUGCCAAGGAUCCUUUUUCCUUGAGCUUGCAGGGAUUGAGAGAGAGAGAGUCAGCGGCCCUGAUGUUAGCGAUGCAGACUCCAGGAGAAGGGGGCAUGCUCGCAGUUUAGAGGAAGUGAGCCCCUCUUCCACGUUCCACUCCCACCAUCCUCCUGGGACCCCAGCCUGCAUGCCCCCCAAAAGAUGCUUUUGCACUGAUUCAACAAAGCCUAAAGAUGCAAAGGCCUAAUUGAAGACCUGUGAAUGGCAUGUACGGUCCUCAGUUCCCAGCUGAGGGGCCACUCGGGCUCCCCAUAUUCCCCUCAGCCUCUCCAUCUUCCAACAGGGGUGUGGAGUGCAUCCAUGGCCAUGAGUAUUGAUCUGUCCCAGCCUGUGCAUUGCUCCGAGGCAGUUCUGAGUGGAUGAUGUACAGAUGGGAUUCCUCAGCUCAUUUGCGUGGUUGACGUUAUGGCUGCUGGUUUUACUGCCACAACUCCCAGGCCCAACCUGGCUUAAUGUCUAAGUUUUAAGCCAAAAAAGAUGGGGAGCAGAGCUUUGUGGCAGGGCUGGGGGUUGGGGUCCACUUUAGUUUUGUGGCAGGAUGAAGGCUGCAGUGGUUUUAUUAAUCAUGAUUGGCCUGGCCGUAGCUCCAGGCUGAGAGGGACAGGUUUGUCAGUGGUGGUCCCCCAGAUGUCCCUGUGCCCAGCCCUGGCCUGUCUGCCCUCAGGCCCAGCAGGAGGCGCUACCACAGGCUCUGACUGGCGUCCCUACUCCCUGUACCCCAGAUGGACAGAACCUUCGGGUCUACAGUCGGAAUAUAUCAUUCUCCCCAUUUUAACCUGAGCUGCCUGACACACGGAGGGUGUGCUGGGUAAGGGGCCUAGGGAGCCAGGGUUGAAUCAUGGAUCCUGGGGAAAGGUUGCAGACACAGGAAGGGUUGUCACCUCUCUGUGGAGCCCUGCUGCUUACCACACAGCACCUUCUGCAGAGACUAGCUCUGAGGGUGGCAGGGGACCCCACAGGCCAUGGCCACUCCCUCUCUGCACCUGUCCGUGCCUGCUGUGGAAGCCUGGACUGGGGGAGGAGAUUGCUACCCUGUGAGCCUGAGGGAGCCACGUCCAGCUGUGACCUCUACCUGGGGCUUUACAGAGAGUUGUUUAUGGGUAACAGACACCUUGUUUCAGAGGGAAUGGGCAUGAGCUGGCAAGUGAAGCACCCCCACAGCUUAUCAGGAACUUUUUCUCAUUUUUAAACCAUCAUGUCUUCAUUUCACAUUGGAAUAAAGUGAGGUUUUGGAA
rnacentral:lncRNA from 1 species